GACGAACGCUGGCGGCGUGCUUAACACAUGCAAGUCGAGCGGUAAGGCCCUUUCGGGGGUACACGAGCGGCGAACGGGUGAGUAACACGUGGGUGACCUGCCCUCAGCUCUGGGAUAAGCCUGGGAAACUGGGUCUAAUACUGGAUAUGACUCCACGGUGCAUGUCGUGGGGUGGAAAGCCUUGUGCGGCUGAGGAGUGGGCCCGCGGCCUAUCAGCUUGGUUGGUGGGGUGAUGGCCUACCAAGGCGACGACGGGUAGCCGGCCUGAGAGGGCGACCGGUCACACUGGGACUGAGACACGGCCCAGACUCCUACGGGAGGCAGCAGUGGGGAAUAUUGCACAAGUGGGACGAAAGCCUGAUGCAGCGACGCCGCGUGA
rnacentral:rRNA from 1 species